rnacentral:lncRNA from 1 species
CUGGGAUUCAGUGCAGCUGGCAGCGUCAGCAUAACGUAAGACCAAGCAUGGAAGGCAGGAGCAUCAGAAGGUCAAGUUCAUCCUUGGCCACCCAGUGAGUUUGAGAGGUGGACCCCAAAUGCUGCAGUAUGGACCCUCCAGGCAAGAAGUGCAAGAGUGUCGUGACUGUUUGGGAGAUGACCCGCUGCUGUUUUACUGGAUUUAAAGUCUGCUCCAUGGAAGAGAAUGCACAGCUGACGGUACAGCCGUGACCCAUUAUAAGGCGGAGGAGGGGUCGGCUUACUCGCUCUUGGGUCUCAGGGAGCAUCAGAAGGGCAGAGACGGCAUCUUCUGGAGCAGAGAGAACACGUCGGUUAUUUACUCAAUUUUUUUCUUUGUUUUUUUUUUUCUUUAUUCCUUUUUGGUUAUUUACUC